ACCUGUGGGAUAACUAGGAAGACAGUUAUUUUUGUGUGAGUGCCUGUGUGCUCUGGGGAGAGAUGCCAGUGAGUGAAACUGGAAUGAACAACCUGACCUCGAGGAAAAAAAUGACCUUAUCGUUAACAAAAUAGUGAAUGCUUCCACAGUGCCUGUUUGUACAGAGUGCUUCACAAGCAUGAGCUCAUGUGAUUUCCUCAUCACUUGCUUUUCCAGCUGUAACAGGUUUGGAGAAGGCAGCUGUGGAUUCUCUUUAGCUUUUGUUUGAGAGGUUUCUCUCUUCCUGGUCAAGAAGCCACAUGACCCGAAUGUAACUAGGACGGUGUUGUUGAGCACUUGCUUGUGGACCCCUCUGGGGUCUGCAGAUGACUGGCAGGAUGCUGGAGCCUGCAGGUUUUGCUAGUUUCCUACUUGCAUGGAUCCUUUCUUGCCCCAGCUCUGGAUAGGUUCCCAGGCUUCAUUAGAAUUCAUGGACGGUUAUCUGCAAAGACUUCUGGACAAGAAGCACAUCCAGUACUUCCUAAAAGAGCAGAUGGGACCAUAGCAAGAAUCUCUUUGCUGCCCGACACAUGAGAAGCGGCCUGCCCAGCUGGCACUUGCUCUCCUACAACCAGCCUCAACAAGGCAUCGAGCUGCCUGCACCAGUGACAGCAAAGCAGCACCUGCCUGUCUGCAGCUCAGGGAUUUUCUCUCGCCCUCAGUCGUACAGCCUUAGCCUUCCAGAAAAAUGGAUCUGUGGCAGUCAUGGUUCCUGGACUUCUAGAAAUGACUAUAUUCCAGGAGAUGCAGAAAUGCUACUGAACAUGGAUGUGCAGCACCACAGAAAACCUAUGUGGGAUCCUGAUCACCAGUGGAAGCCCGGCUCCUUAGAGAGCUAAGAUGGAACAAAGAAAAUUCCCAGGCCCGGGAACCACCAGAGGUACUACCUUAUUUGCUCAAAAGGUAGGUUAUGCCCAUAAGGGGCAGACCACGCAUGGCUCUACCUCUCUCUCUCUCUCUACACACACACACACUCUCUCUCUCUCUCUCUCUCUCCUGCUUUUAUUGUGCCAUUUUGGAUCUGUAGGAACUUGGGCUUGAAGAGCUACAUGAUCUGAAAUUCAGCAUGUAUCAGCUAGUAGGUUUAGGUUAUGUCCCGAGAGGGAUGUGCCUCCAGGUGGCUGUGACCUCACUUUCACAGUUCAUGCAGAGGAAAGUCAUCCUUGUGGUCCUGGGAGAGCUGGUCUGUUGCUGCCCAGGUUUGCCUGCACUGCCAGCAUGGCUCUCACAGCCCCCCAAAUUGUUUUCCUCUGAAAGGUUCAAAUCUUGACUCUGAAACAGACCUCAUAAUGAAACACCUAUGGGAAAAGUCUAUUCUCUGGCCUCUUUCCUGAGCUCAAUAAUGUUUAAUUUUUAAAAGCGGGGGAGGGAGGGAGGGAAAGAAGAAGUCUCUGAUAUUUCUCCAGUGCACUUGGCUCUCAUAGAUGGCCUUGGCCAAAACUCACCACCAGCGAUUGUGCCAGAACACCUGGUUUGAAUUCUGGCUGCCAUGCUGCUUCAUUUAAUGAGAUGGUCCCAACUUACUUUACUAUUUAAAAAGAAUUUGAGGCCAGAUGCAGUGGCUCAUGCUUUUAAUCUCAGCACUUUAGGAGGCCGAGGUGGGCUGAUCAUGAGGUC
rnacentral:lncRNA from 10 species